GGCAGUUCUCAGGUGACACACCCUGGAAUCAGGCUCCCUCCUCUCUGGUUCCUGGUGUGUCACCUGAGAACCACA
rfam:Myotis davidii contig92613, whole genome shotgun sequence.